GCUGCGGCGUCGGCAGCGGCGGCGGCGGCGGCGGCUCCUCCGGCUCCCCCCCGUGCAGACACCAUUCCUCUCCCCCAGGUUCUGACUCUCCGGACUCCCCGCUCCGCUCUGGCUCCUCCACACACUCGCACCCGACCCUCGCGCUGCGGCGGCGCAUGCGCACUGGAGGCUUCGGGGGGCGGGAGGGAGGGCAGGGGAGGGGGAGGGGGAAGGAGAGGGGGAGGGGGAGCGGGAGGAGGGGCGAAGCCCCACGCCGACGGCGUCGACGGCGGAGCUCGCCGCCUGCCUGAGUCCGGACGCUUCUCACCGGCGCACGCGCGCGCCAGCCCGCCCGCCCGCUCUUCUGCUCUCUGCGGCGGGUGCGCGCCCAGUGAAGCCUCGGCUCCGCUAGUCUUCCAGUCAGAUGCGCAGGCGCGGAGAGGCGGGAGGAAGGGAAGGAGGAGGGAGGGAAGGAGGGGACAGAGACCCAAAGCUCGUAGCUCCUUCAGUGCGCAGCCGCGCGACUAGAAAGCCAACUAAGGUUUCUCUUCCCCUCCGAGCCUAGGCCCGGAGGGAAGGAGGCCCCCUUGGAGGUAGCGGAGCAUCUUAAGGUUUCUCCCUGAAAUCUUGCGCUACUCCUCGCCAGCUACGGGAAAAGGAAAAGAGUCUGUAGGGGACCAUCUUUCUAGGUUAAGGGUCGAAGAAGUCCCUGCUCCCACCCCUAGGCCCAGCUUCCUCAUCUGUGUAAUGGGGACGAGUCAUCACCUCCAGGGAGCGGACACACGGAAGCAAGGGCAAACCCCAAAGCGCAUUAAAUAUCAAUAUUGAUAAGGAAAAUUUUCCCUUAACAAGACAGCACUUGUAUUCCAUAGUCAUAUGAUCCUCAAACUAUCAAGUAAAUCAAGCUUCAAAGUUUAUACUUUAGUCUGUUUUAAUUUUUAAAAAAUUUCUUAAGGAUUGAGUUAAGGAGCAAUAAGAGCAUCAAACUAUAAUCCAGUCUCAUCAAUUUCUUUAUUCACUCUAUACUGUAUUUUAUAAGCUUGUCUCCAUAAAUUAGAUCCACUGACCUAAUCACUAUCCGCUAUCAUUGAGGACAUUCCAGGAUUCAGCAAGGCCCCAACAUUACACACUUGCAAGCUGUAGGAAACAAAUACACCAUAGCAACAAUUACAGUACAUGAUAAGCCAGUUCAAGGGCCAACCUUGCCAACUUAGAUUUUUUUUCCCAUCAAAUUGGGUUUGGGAUUUUGACAAUUUACUUGUAAAUUCUCCAAAUUGUAGGUCUACUGGUUUAACAGGCUUAUUUUCAAUGCUGUUUUCCAAAUGUGUGGUUUCCAUUUUUUAUUUUAACAAGCCAUUUUCAUCCCUGCUUAUUUUAGGGACUUCAGUAAGAGGAAAGGACAGAAAAAGAAGGUCUAGGGGUUGAAAACAGCUUUAAAAAACCAUAGCAGCGUAAUAGGAAGAAAUUUAAAACAGUGCCACCCUUAAGGACCAAUCUCAGUGUCCCCACAAAAGACCCACAGAAUGAAAUCCAAGUUUUUGACCUGAAUGAACUAUAAAGAUAUAGUCCUGAGUAAUAGAGGAAAAAAGAAGAGUCUGCUUUGAGAUUUAGGAGUGGCACAAAUACGAGUAAUUUCUGUACCAAAACUUUUCAAUAAGUAGUCUGAAAAACAGCAAACUAUUUCAGAAACUAAUGAACAGAGUUAUCAAAGUUAAAAGGAUUUAUAGGGCCCAAAUGAGAUUAAAUUGUAAUUGGGAUAUAUGUAACAAAAUACAUUAAAAUACAAUAAAGCCAGUUAAUAUUGCAUUUUAAAACUAAAGUUAACAUGCAACCUCUCAAGAGAUUCUUAUUACAUUUAAUGCCUCCUGUUUCUCUUUGAGUUUGACACCACUUGCCUAGAGUAUAUGAGGUGGCAACUGAUAAAACAACUAUCUUACACUUUUCCAGUGAAACAUGUUUCAAAACAAACAACCAAAGGCCAGGGCAUAUUUGAAGAAAUCAUGCAAAUUAUCCACAUAAAGUGUGAUGAAUUACAAAUUAGCUGUAACCUCUGGGAAAGACCAAAGCAUUACCAUGGAGAACAAGACUUUGCUUAAGACACAGGGAUUUUUUUUUUUUUUAAGUCUGUGACAUGGAAGCUGGAAAGGUUCAGAAAAUAGCACAUGUAAUUAUGCAAACAAAUAUAUCUCUUGAAUGGUUUAGGAAAACCCAGAGUCUGGAAAAAAAAAACUGGAAAAAAACUAUUUUUCAACUCCUUCCUAUCAGUUAAAAGAAAGCACAAUAAUACAGUAGUGUUGACAAUUAUAAAUAUUUUAUAUCUAUCCAUGAAUUUAGAAUACAGAUACAAAAAAGAAUGCUUAAGGAAAAAAAUAAUCAAAAGCUAUUUACUUUCCUGGGGAUACAAGAAUAAGAACAUAAUAAAAUUUUAAAAGCAUCAUAUUUAUAACAAAGAGAAACCAAUACUCAGAGAAUAUGCUAAAGGUUUUCUGGAAAGAAUCCAUUUGUGUAAAAGUACACAAAAGAAACUUGCUAAAACUUCAUUUGAAAUUACAAAAUAUUAAUCUUAUUCUUUAAGUGGUAGAAGAAUUUAAAUUGAAAGUGAAUGCAAAGUAUCCAGAGGAUUAAAGAUCUUUGGGGAUAAUAAGACAGUCAAGUGUCAAAUGAGGACAACAAACUACCUUUGGUAUAAAUAAAAGUUCAUCAAUUAAAAGAAAUCUGUUUAAUGGCUUAAAUUUAAAAUAAACAAAACUCUUUUUGAAACCUCAGUUAUUAAACAAACUGGUAUCCUUACCAGAAAAAAUCUCCUUUUCAGUGAACUCUAAAAAUAGCUAUAGAAACAAAAUGUUCAUUUUUAAAAAACAAAUCUACAUGUUUCUCAAUUUAGGAUUACUGAAAUAAUUCUCAGCUUAUGUUGUCAAAGGAUAUGAGUCUAAACAGAUGUAUUUUCUUGUUACUGGACUGAGUAAAACAAUAGCUUACUGUUUCUGAGAACAAAAAGGUACCCCCCCUUUGACAAACAGUAAACCGCUUAAUCCAAAUUAAAGAAAUUUACUGGAGAGAAAAAUUGCACUUUAUAUUAUGCUGGCAUUGGACUAACUUACAAUUCUGAGAAAACUAUAUGUUUCUUUUAAAAUGUUAAUGCUGCAUAGGUUUUAUGGUAGCAAAAAAAUGGAAACAAAGUAGAUACCCAUAUGCUAGGGAAUAGCUAAAUAAAUUGUGGUAUAGAAUGUAAUGGAAUAUUACUGCACUGUAAGAAAUGUUUGUCUUGAAUUAUAGAAAAGCAUGGAAAGAGCUAUAUGAACUGAUGCAGACAGAAAUAGAGCCAAGAAAACAAUAUACAUAAUGAUUAUCAUAAGGUAAAUGGAAAGAACAACAUGUCAAAAAAUCAAAAGUGAAUGUAACAAAAUUAUAAAGCUCAAGCAGGAGCCAAAUGAAUUGAUACAAGGCGACACUUCCAAUAUAUCUUUUAUGGAGAUGGGAAGUCCACAUAUGUAACAUAGUGCACAUUUUCCACAUUCUUCCCAUGGAUCAAUCAAUUGUGUUCUCUCCCCACCCCUUUUUAAAAAUACCAUUUGUCACUUCAGAUGGUUCUCUGGGAAGGGGAGGGACAGUGGGGAUAAAUAAGAUGAUUCAAGAAGCAAGAGACUUCAAUACAAUUUUAUAAAAAGUUAAUGCAUUAAGUAUAGCAUUUUUCUGUAUAGCAUAUAUAAGUAUAGCAUUCUACUGGGUAAUAAAUAGAACUUUUCAUUAAACUUAGAGAAAUAGUAGAGAGAAAACAAAAAUACUUUCAAUCAUUAAAAACAAAUGCAAUUAAAUGAAAUAUAAAGUAAAAGUAAAGUAUAUACCCAUUUAUAUGUCUAAGCACUUUCAUUAUCAAAAGUCCAAUUCAAAUCAGUGUGCAGUGAUGACUGAAAUAUGAAGCAUGCAAUCAAGCCCUGUUAUUUGGGGCUGAUCUUUCCUGUUGUGAUAGCUUUCACAACUUUAAAAAGCUUUUUAACUACUCUAUACAAUGAACUUUGCAAAGCCCCAAACCAAAUGUUUAUUCAUUCCUGACUACUGGCAAAGUUUCAGGAGAAACUGGCCAAAUCUCUUCUCUUUCCUAAGACUUGUAAUAAGAGCAAAAUUCUUCAAAAGAAUAAAACUUUUUUUAAAAAAUAGAUAAUAUGCUUUUUGUUUAUUUCUGACGAUAUCAUAUUCAUCUUAAAGAAUAAAUAAUUGCUGUCUUUAAAACAAAAAAAGGAAGUAGGAUGUGUGAUCUCUUUAAUGUAAAAUAAAUGGACAGUAUAGUUCUUCAUUUGAGCACUGUGCAUGAUUAGGAAAGUGACAUUAAAACAGCCACUUGCAAAAGAAAAUUUCUAAAAUUCUUGUUUUUAAUCAGGUCUUCUUUUCCCACUGAAUGCUUACUAGCUUAAGGAUUCUGAGCAUGCUCAGAAGAUUCACUCAUGCAUAUGGAAGCACAGUUGGUGAAAGCAUCUGGGCAUCCCACUCCUCAUUUGAAUGAUAUGCUACGUUAGUUACUCCAGAAGGUACAAUCAAUACCUCCAUCCUUAAGCAAAGAUACAGAAUAGUGACCAGACAUUUAAUAAGCCCCUCCUCAAUUCCACCUCUGAAAAUGCUGAGGUUCAAUUAAUUUUCUCCUUCCUAGUUGUUAGUACUCUCUCCUCAAAUUAUAUUUUUACAACCAUCCCCAGUAGAAUUAAGGGUCCUUGAGGGCAAAGAUCAUGUUCAUUUUGUCUUGGUAGUUUCAGUAAUGUACCUAAGUACAAGGAAUUAAAUAGAUUUGCUGAAUUGAAUACAAAUAUUGCCCCCCUAUAAGAAUACAUUCAUAAAUGAACUUCUUUCCUAUUCUAAUCUACUGAAAUUAAUUUUUUCACAGUAUACAUUUUUUUAAAUUCCCAAACUAAUGAUGCCAUAUAAAUGUUAUGGAUGUAAUAUUAACAACAUUAUCCAUUCCCAUUUACAUAGCUCUUUAAGGUUUACAAUGUUUUCUUUCCUCAAUCUUGUGAGGUGGAUAUUACAUUAUUGUCACUGCCAUUUUACAGAUAUGAAAACCAAGUCACAAAGAAGCCCAGUGAUUUGCUCAGGAUCACCCUGCUUUCUAAGAGAUCAGAGCCGGAAUCACACUCAAGGCUCCAGAUCAAAUACUCCUUCCAUUGUAGACAGUAGGACACAUAUCAAAAAAAGCUCUCAAAUAGUCAAAGCUCUAAGCUCGAGAAUUUUCCAUGUUUGUAUAAGAACACUUUGUAGCCAUAAAUCAAUGGCAAUUGUAAACUCUUCCUUCUCCUGCUACAUCUUUUAUAAAGCAGCUUCCUUUAAGAACAGCAAAUAAAGUCAGCUAUCAGAAGCUAUGAGUUUAGAAAGAUAUUUGACUUCCUGCCAUUUUCCAAAGGACUCAAAUGAGAAUUUCACUCAUUAAUUCAACAGUACUCAUAACAGAAGGUUCAUCCAGGUGGCAUUAUGCACAACGGCAUAAUAAAAGAAAUCUGGGUUCAAAUGCUGCAUCUGCCAGAUACUACCUAUGUAAUCUUAGACAAAUCCCUAAACUCCUUUAAACUUCCGUUUCUGCAUCUAUAAAAUGGGGUUUCAGAGAUUAUUUCUUCUCAGGUUCUUCUUCCAGCUCUAAAUCUCCUAUCUGUGGUCCUUUGAUCUAUAAAUAAAUUGCUAAAUCUCCCUCUAAUACCUAGAAAGAUUUUUUUCAUCAGAUGCCUUGAAGCCAUUUUGUAAAUUAAUUUAAACCAUUCAUCCUUCCAAGAAAGCUGGAAAAUUACAUUGGAGUUCCUUUAAGGAGGGGGAAAAAAAGAGUAACUGAUUUAAUUUUUUUUAAUGAAUUCUUAUGCUUCUAGCAUUUUUCCAGACUACUAAAAUAAUCUGUCCCUUACAUUUCGGAAAAUAAUGCCACUGUAGCUGAUACCCAGUAUUAAUGACUGACAUUUAAAGUCAGUUGAUGGAGAUUCUUUCAGCAAUCACUUAGUUCAAAUUCUCUCACCCUCUCAAAAACUGGUUUUAAUAUAUUUGCCUAAUUCACAAAUGCAUGAGAUAUGAGUGGUUCAUUUGAAGAAUUCACCUAAGACAAGUACUAAUUCCAAAAUAGGAAAUAUAAUACUUCCAAAACUCACCCAAUAAUUAACCUUCGCAGCAAAGAUCCUCACAACAUCAUAUCAUAUUGAGGCCUCAUCCCCUCAUGGUCUAAAAAGGCUAAAAUAAACUCUUUAAACUACUGCAAAAGUAAACAAAAUUUAUUAUUUAGUGACAACCUAUGAAUUUAGAAAAAUGCAUCUCACUGAAUAUAAUGGAAUCUCAAUAGUAUUCAUUCUAAAUAAAAUACAUCACAUAAUAACCUGACUAAGGCUUACAGAUAUUUAACAGACCCAGAAAUCAAGUAUUUAAAGCACCUUUGUGAUGUCUAUAAUCACAGGUCCAGAAAAAGACUGAAGGUAAGAAUUUAAGCAGAAAAAAUGGUUAUGCUGUAAAUAGCAUUUCCUCUGAAAGCAAGAACUUAAAGGUUCAACAUUUCAAUUCAAGAAGCAUUUAAUAAGUUAAUACCAUUGUUAAACACUAUAUUAGGCACUGGAAAACACAGGCAAAAAAAAAAAAAAACUUGGAUAAAUUCCAUUAACAGUCCCCAGUUUUUGAUAAUUAAAAAAAAAAUUAAUGGUAGUCAAUUGUCACUUUGAGAUAGUAUUACUAACGUUUGUAAUAUUCCACUGUUAGAAAUCUGGAACCUCCCAAACAUAAAAGAAAAUCACCACGCCUCUAUUUAGAAACCAGGUAGAACAGGAAGCAUUUUUGAAUUAGACAAUAACAUUUUAUUUUAUGUCUAAGAAAAAUUCAAUUCCAGUAUUUGUGGCUGACGUAUUAAAUACAUAUAAACAUUAAAAAGCACAUUUAAAAUGACUUUCAAAAAAUAUUUCAAAAUUAAGGAAGAAAAGACUGCCUUAAGAGAAUACCCACAUCUUACUUAACAAAUGCUGAAUAAUUGUCAGAAUGACUUUUUCUUCAGAAAAAGGGGAAAAAACCAAACCUGUCGAGCAGCCUAAAUUCCAAAAUUUCUAAAACAGAGCUUUAUCUGCGUUAUCUGUUCACUGGAAAAUUUCUUUGUUAUCUCCCCCAGCCUCAAAACCUACUUGAGUUUAAAAAGAAAAUAAAAUUCUGGAACAUACCCCUUGAUUCACAAAUUCCACGUUGAAAAAAAAAAUACUUUGUGGCUCUGCUUCGACACAAAAGGAUUUUAAAACCAAAUUUUUCCCCCCUCUUUAUAGUUUUAAACCUCAGUGCAUUAAACUUCCCUCAAAAAUCUAGUUUUCAGCCAUUAACACUAAAAAACACUCAUGUAAAAGCUUCCUACUUAAGGAUAUUUGCAAGUAACGUUCUAAGAUUUUUCCCUCUCUUGUCAACUUUAUUACAGUUGCAAUUUGGCAGAGACCACUAACUAUAGUUUCUGCAAGAUUAAUUCACGACAGAAAUACUUAAGACAGUGAACCUUGUAACAUGCCUCUAUUAUAGCCAUAUUAACAGAGAAGAAUGUUGCUUCUUAGUGCUUCAAACUUCCUUUUACGAACCGACCUCCUUACAAGGAUCUGGUACAUCCAACCAGAAUUCCCACCAGUAGGAAAAGCACCCCUCCUCGUUAGCGGCUAUGGAAUGACUAAGGUCCGUAGGAUGACCUAAGAUGACCUCAGCAUUGUGCACGCGCGCGUACACACACACACACACACACACACACACACACACACCCCAUGGGCUUGCUAGCUUCCGCCAGGACACUUCAGGGCAAGGUCAUGGCCAAAAGGCUCACAAAAUACCGAAUUGGAAAUGACGUGUCAAGCUUUUAGAAAUGAUGACUUUUGCUUUCUUCCAGAACCAAAUCCUAGUUUUCUGGGUUGGGCAGCUUGUUUGGGGGGAGGGGGAGAUGAAGGUGUUAAUAGCUCCGGGCGCCUCGGGAGGACCACCUGCAAGGGCGCACGCCCAAUGCCAACCCUUCUUUGUGAAGCAGCUGCAGAGGGAGGAGGGAAACUCGGGCGGAGCCGGCUUCCCCUCCGGGGCCCAGUGUGCACUUGGGGGCGCGGGUGCAAGAGCCAAGGUUGAGGAAGGUUAAGGUUCUCGGGUCGGGUGGCGGUGCUUUCGUUUUGGGUUGGGUUUUGUUUUUGGUUUUGUUUUUAAUGUCACACGGUGGCGGGAGUCGCUUCCACAAUAUUCCCGAGGCGCGGCAUCGAAGAAGAGAAAAGGGAGGCGGGAGAGAACGCAGCCCGGGAGCGGGGGUGGGGGUGAUGGUGCCAACGGCCGUUGCCAUGGUAACCGCAGCCCCACUCCACCGUCUAACGCCCACCGAGCCUCCGUCUCAACCUCGUUGGCUCUCCCGGGCGGCUCCGGCUUGACACCCCCAGCCCACCCGACCCUGAGCGUCCACAUCCAGUCCAGACGAAGAAGUAGACACACGGGCCGCGCAGGCCGAAGGAUUGUGGAAGGUAUAAGCACUCGGAACCGAUGUAGGCAGAAAAGCAGCCGGAGAACGGCGACGAGUAUCAGGAGAAGAAGUUGUGCUGCCGCUGCUGCCGUCGUCGCCGCAGAAGUGCAAGGAAAAACCGCGAUGGCUCCAAGGCGCAGGCGCGCCCCUCCCCCCAGCCCCUCGACUUCGACCUAGGAAUGUCCGCACUGCGACUGCGCAGCCAUGCGGGGCGCGCAUAUACACACACAUAUACACCCACACACACACACACACAUACACCAAAAAAAAAAAAAAAAAAAAAAAUGGGGGAAGGGGAAAGUUCUCUUGGCCCUGGGAGAAGUGAAGAGAAUCCCCCACCCCCGUCCUUCCCUCCCCACCCCCGCCCCUUGCGCACGCGCAGCUAGGCGGCGGCUUCGGUGACUGGGUUUAGUUUUUUUUCUGUUGGGAUAGGUUUUUGUUUUUUGUUUUGCUGAGUUUCCCUGAGAAGUUUCUGGAAAGCAAGAGUCAGAACAAAGCCUAGGCAGGGCCGCACAGCUAUCGCCUCCACCGUGAACCCCACUCUCCGUGCGGCCUUUUCUCACUCUAUCUAGCUACAAGCACUGCGCGACAAGUCGCCGUUUGCUUGGGCUUUAGGCCCAUCUGGCACUGGGCCGAGGCCGGGCUGACGGACACAGACACGGACGUGGGGGAGCGGCGAUCCCAGGCUGCAGUACCGGUCAGAUGCUGGGCCCUACGCGGAGGAGCCGGGCCAUAGACGCCGGAGCUUUCCGGAGCCCGCCUGCACCCGCCCCGCCGGGCGCCAUUUUGUAGUACAGGGCAGUGCAGGCGCCAUUUUGUGGAGGCAGAGGGGAGGGGCGGGCGGGUGCGCUGGCCGGCGUGGGAAGAAGUGGGGGAGGGCGCAAGCACGUGCCGAAGCCACCCCACCCCACCCCCAGCUGCGGGGCGUGGGCCUCGCACCUCCCUUGCCCAAAACGCUCCCUCCCCCUCUGCUCUGGGACUUCAUCUGGCAUUUCUAGGGCCGCCCUCAGAUCGUCCUUGGGCCGGCGAGCUGCGGGGGAAAAGGGAGGUGACCGCUGCGUGUCUCCGAGGCGGGUCUCUAAGCCUUGAGCCUGGCCUCACGUACUAUCUUGGGGGAAGAUGCCCGCCCCCGCCCCAUCGGGAUCAGCAUGAACAAUAGAAGAGGAAGGGCCCAGGCGCUGGAGUGGGAUGUGGCCCCUACGUGGACGCCAGUCCAUUUCCCCCCGGUGUCUUCCCGCCCGGUCAGUGUCUGGAAAGGGCUAUUGGCUGGUCUGUUCCAAAGAAAAGAAUUAAAUGGGGAUCGUGAAGUCUCCCAGUGAAGAUUGAGAUAUUAGCCUACCCAGCCCAGACACCCAAGGGUGCAGGCUGUUCUUUUUCACCGGAAACGCCGCCCCUCGGAGCUGCUACGGGGGGAGGGGCGCAGCUUCCAGCCGCGGGAAUGCGGAGCUGAGCCUACGCCGGUUACCUCCAACCCUCUUUGGGUGUAUGCGAUUUUACUAUCUUAUUGGAGAUCCGGUCAUCUGCCUCCAUCCCAAAUGGGUGAUGCUCCUAAUGAGAACGGAGACAGUGAUCUCUUGUCUCCGGAACCCGUCCGUCUCUGAUAGCUUCCAGAUGAAAGGAGCAUCUGGGGAAGAUGCUUUCAGAUUGCAAAUGUGUUUCGACUUUCCGAUGAGAAUUACAUAAAAACACUUGUGCUUCAUACUAAGUUGAACUUCUUUGUAGGUUUGGUCAUAAAUUGAGGACAGUCCUGUACAAACUUGAAUGCCAAGAAAUUGAGAAAUUGCACAUUUCUAAAUGAAAGAAAACGGCAAAGUAGGGGAGGGAGGUUUGUAUUUUGUUUUUAAACCGGGAUGAGUUGUCAUACUCAACAAAGUUCUAAUAUUUGCAAAAUAUUCUGCCCCUUUGGGGCUGAUGCGCUAAUUGAAAGAAGGGUUUGCAUUUGGACACCCUUAAGUUUUUUUGGAACUCUAGAGGAUUCUAUACAAACUAUAUGGAGUUUUAAUACUGCCACCCAUAAGUCUAUUUAGAUAUUUUCUAUUUUCAGAUAGGAAAAGAGGUUUCUGAACUGCCUUCAUAAGGUUACUGAGUUUUUCAGUAAGUGAAUAUGCUUUGCCCCAGCCCAAUUUCUCCCAUGUCUUUAGUAUGGCAAUUAAACAGGGAUUAUUGAAUGUCUACUAUGGCCCAAUGUUAAACUAUUGGGUCUGCAAAAGCAAAAAUAGUCCCAAUUUCAAUAAGUUCCAAAUUCAAAUAACUUUUAUCAAUUUAACUUUAAAGGGGAGGAGGGGAGGAGUUAGUGUAAUGCUUACAAGAUAAUUUGGGAAUAAAACCUUGACCUUGGGCUUGAAUGCUCCACUCUAACCAGCUAAGCCAACAGAAUCGAAUAUGGAUUCAAUUUAAUUGAAUUACAGAGUUACACCAAUGGUGUUUUUGAAAAUCUGUUUUAAAAAAAACAGCUCAGGCUCUUGGCUAUGACUAAGGUUGUUUGAUCUCUUGCGGAGUGGAAGUAAAGACUCUUUUCCCCUUUACCAAGGCAGCCAAGUUAGGAAAACCAUUCAAAUUCAUCUUGUGCUAUGGGACAAGAGGCAGAAUUCAAAUUCUGGGAAUAAGUCAAUCAGCCUGUAAAGAUACAUGAGUAAAGGGGUUUUUGUCUUUGCGUAAUCCUGGUACAUAGUAGUAAUCUAUUAAAUGCUUUGGUGUUCAUAAAAGUCAACCAGGAGCUGCAGUGGGCUGUAGUUAAGCACUCAUUGUGCUCUGAAUGUUUUACCUUUGUGGUCAUAGGUACAUUUGCUUGUAUACCACAUUCUCCUCUCUCUCUUCAAAAACAUAUAAAGUGACUUGGGAAUUUUGAAAUUUUAGAACCACAGAGAGCUAGUAGGAACCUUACAAUAUGCUGCCUUUUGUUUUUCUUUGUUGAACCAGUGAUUUUUAUCUGUGAGGAAACUCCCCGUGCCUCUGUGAAAAAGACUUAUCUAACUUUUCUGUAUUAGGGAGUGCCUGGGGCAUUUAGAGGUUAAGUUCACUGCUCUGAGACUAAUCCAGAUUCCUUCUCAGACCUUGACUGACCUGCCCACUAAACUCCAUCUUCUCAAACUAUUGUUCAGUACCCCAAAAGGAGCCUCCUAAUUGAAGGGGGGGGUUGCAAAUUAUUAGUAAAUGUUUCAUUUGUAUACUUAUUUUAUAUAUUUAUGUUCCCAGGGGCCCAUAAAAAUUUCUUGAUUGUGGAAAAAGUUGUAAGGCCCUGCACUAGACUCCCAGAAUUACUUCUUAGAUGAAAGCAAAUUUCAUUUCCUCUUUGACUUCACUAGAUAGGUGCAUAGGAAAAAAUACCCAGUUCAUUCUUAAAGGAAAAUUCCAUAUUUGAUAUUGCAAAGUCUCAAGUUGAUGUAUUUUUAAAACAGUCAUUUUUAUUUAAUUUGAACUGCUUAGGAGAACUACAAACACCCACCUCUGAGUAUGUAGAAAAAUUUCCAUGGAAACCAAAAUGUUCCCAGGGUCUAAAUGGAAACCUUUACAAAGAAAUCUUAAGGGUAUGACAAUUAUAUAGAGCCUGAGUAGUUAUCUUUGUAGCCCUCAAUACUAUAAGAUAAUUUCGUUUAAAUGGCCUUAUCAAAUCAACUGCAUCUAAAAGGGAUACUAACUUGUGUGGGAACUUAGCCAAAAACCUUUAAAUGUGCUUGGCCUCAGUUUCCCCAACUGUAAAAUGAAAAAAAACUGACUCAUCUAUAUACUCAGGAUAUUAUUUGAGGUUAAGAUAAUGGUCACCUAACUUCUCUGAGAUACAACAGAAACAGUGUAUAGAGACUAUGAGCUGGGAGCCUCCGGCCUAUUAAUAGUUGCAAAGUGAUGUUUCUAAAGCACACCUCUGAUCCGAUCAUUUGCCUGCUCUAAAAGCACCCCUUUGCCUUAAAAAGAUUAAGUACAAUAAAUGUCUCAGGUUUUUCUUUUUAAAAUCUUCACAAUUGAGCUCUAGUCUACUUUCCCAAGCUUCUAAUAAGUUACUAGUUCACCCAGUUCAUUGUAUAGCACAACUGGCCUACUUACUGGUGCCCAUACAUAUCAUUCCAUUUUGUCUCCAAGCUUUUGUGUAAGCUGUCUCUCAAAUUGGAAUGCACUAAUUUUUUCCAUCUCUUAAAAUUUCUUAACUUCAAAGUUUGAUUCUGUACUUAGCCUGAUUACCCCAAUUACAAAUCAACGCUCCUCCCAUCCCACCACCAUUUUCCCCCUAUUUAUUUGCUUUUCUCUGUACAUUUUGUGCUUACUGUGGUCUCAAAGACCAUUAAGCUCCUAGGAAGCAAGGCCUCAAACACUAUCUGAGAUUCCUCAUCUGUAAAAUGGGAAUAAUACUAGCACCUGCUUCCCCAAGGCUGAGAUUCUGAAGUAAAAAUGCUUAACAAACUUUAAGGUGCUGAAUGAAUAGCAAGGAUUGAAAUAAGAACCAAGUCAGGUUCUUUUGAUUGAUCUUGUGCUCUGAAAAUAUUACAGAAAACGAAAACUGAUUUAAUUCUAAAUCAGUGAUUUUUCAACUUCCUUGUGUCCUGGACCCCUUUUGUCAAUCUGGUGGAGCCUUCUCAGAAUGUUUUAAAUGCAUAAAGUAUCAUAAAAGAAACUUAUUAAAUAAGAGCAAAUUAUUUUUAAAAAGUUUGCAGAGCCCAGUUUUAGAACCUUUGCUCUAAAUCAUAGUGUUAGAGAUAUUGCCAUUUAGAUAUGAAAGAAAGUUAGAUCCCCCAACCUGAUUGCUGUCAUUAUAUUCUAAGUUUAACUUAUAAUGUGUAUUCUUAUAAUGUAGUAGAAAAAAGGUCACACUUGGCAUGAAGAGAGACCAGGUCUUGAAUUCAAUUCCAUCUAAUGAGGCUGUAUGGCCAUAAGCAAGUCACCUCUCAGCCUCAGUUUCCUCAUCUAUAAAUUUAUAUACGUGUACCACCUACCUCAGAAAGUGGUUGUGAGGAUCAAAUGAGAAUGUAUGUAAAGAGCUUUAAAAAACUUAAAAGUACCACAUGGCUAAUGUUACUUAGGCUUUCAUUGGUACAAGAUUUAGUAAGGGUUUUCCUUUGAAGAGGAAUGGAAGAAAAUUUUGAAUUAGUAAAGAAAAAAAACCCUGAGGGCUGUUACAUUGUGUGUAUACACAUAAUUGCAUUCAGAAAGUUUCCUCAGUACCCUGUGAUAGUAUCCCCAUUUGUAAAAUGGAUCAGACUCCACAGAUGUUUUAAAAUUUUCACAGCAUUUAGAGCUAGAAGAAAUCUUAUAAAUCAUCCAGUCCAACCCAUCCCCAGCCAUGAAACAGAUCAAGCAGAUGAAGCUUCAGAUCGCCCAGGUGACAAUAUUGUUUUCCUUUCAACACUAUUUUCAAAUGUUUACAAAAUGGAUUCCUGCCAUUCCUCCCCUCCCCCCCCAAACCCUUCUCCCACACACACACACCUUCUCAAUCUAGAGCAUUGUUAUAAUUUUCAUUCUAAAUAUCUCUCCUUUCCAAAGAUCUCAGCCAGGCCUUUAAACUAUCAUCAAACUGAAGUUUCUAAUAAUACAGUGCUACUGCCUCCUGCCAAAUAGCUGCCCACAACCACGUGGCUGGUAUUGGAACCAGCACUGCAAUUCAGCUUUCCAGCUCCAACACUGAAUCCAUACUUGUUCUUCCUAAACACCCUGCUUUGCUGCUCCUGGUUAUAGGAUGAUGAUGUCACCAACCUCCUGGUGAAUAAAAAGUGCUUUGAGUAAUUUUCACAAUAAUGGGAAAAGUCUUGCACUGAGCUAUUCACAGACUCUUUACUGAGUUUAACCAGUAAUUGUUUUGAAGAUGUUGGGAUUUUCUAUAGCUUGAAAUCUGGUAAAUUUGUUGCCGUGUUUUGAUUGGUAUGGUAUCAAAUUUAAAGUUUAGCAUCAAUUUUCUUACAUUGGUAUGGCCAAAUAUGAUCAAUAAAUCUCUCCAAUUAUACAUAA